CUCCAGGGAGAGUUUCAGGAUCCUCUCCAGGGGGAAUUUGAGGAGACAGAGGGAAUUUCAGGAUCCUCUCCAGGGAGAGUUUCAGGAUUCUCUCCAGGGGGAAUUUGAGGGGACAGAGGGAAUUUCAGGAUCCUCUCCAGGGGAAUUUCAGGAUCCUCUCCAGGGGGAAUUCAAGCAUGCUGUCCAGGGGAAUUUCAGGAUCUUUUCCUGGAGGAGUUCAAGCAUCCUCUCCAGAGGGAGUUCCGGGAUCCUGUCCAGAGGGAGUUCCAGGAUCCUCUCCAUGGGAAUUUCAGGGUGGGGAUGUUCACCAGGGGGAAUUUCAGGAUCCUCUCCAGAGGGAGUUCCAGGAUCCUCCCCAGUGGGAUUUCAGGAUGGGGAUGUUCACCAGGGGGAGUUCCAGGAUCCUGUCCAGGGGAAUUUCAGGAUCCUCCCCAGUGGGAUUGCAGGACCCUCUCUCCCCAUGCUGUGAUUUCCCUGUGGAAUUCUCCCCGUCCCUUCUCCCAGAGCCCCCCACCCCCCAUUCCCGUCUGGUUUUCCCAUUCCCCCAUUCCUCACUCCCGCCCGUUCCCUCUCACUCCCGUCUGUUCUUCCCCUUUUCCCCCUUAUCCCCGUCUGUUUUCCCCAUUCCCUCCUCACUCCCGCCCGUUUCCCCUUCACUCCUGUCUGGUUUUCCCUUCCUGUCUGUUUUUCCCCGUUCCCCCUCACUCCCGUCUGUUUCCCCGUUCCCAGGACCCGUUUUCCUGUCCGGUUUUCCCCAUCCCUCAUUCCUCCUCACUCCCGUGUGUUUUUCCCAUUCCCCCAUUCCUCACUCCCGUCCGUUCCCCCUCACUCCCGCCGUUUCCCCGUUGCCAGGACCCGUUUUCCUGUCUGUUUUUCCCAUUCCCCCCUUACUCCUCUCUGUUUUAUCCCCUCACUCCCGUCUGUUUUUCCCCGUUCCCCCUUCACUCCCGUCCAUUCCCCCUCACUCCCGCCGUUUCCCCGUUCCCAGGACCCGUUUGCCUGUCCGGUUUUCCCCAUUUCCCCCUCACUCCCGUCCGUUCCCCCUCACUCCCGCUGUUUUCCUGUCCAGUGUUCCCCAUCCCUCACUGCCGCCGUUCCCCGUUCCAGGACCCGUUUUCCUGUCCGGUUUUCCCCGUUCCCCCCUCACUCCCGUCCGUUUUUCCCCGUUCCCCCCUCACUCACNNNNNNNNNNNNNNNNNNNNNNNNNN
rnacentral:lncRNA from 1 species